GAUCAUGGCUCAGGAUGAACGCUAGCUACAGGCUUAACACAUGCAAGUCGAGGGGCAGCAUGGUCUUAGCUUGCUAAGACUGAUGGCGACCGGCGCACGGGUGAGUAACACGUAUCCAACCUGCCGUCUACUCUUGGACAGCCUCCUGAAAGGAAGAUUAAUACAAGAUGGCAUCAUGAGUCCGCACGUUCAUAUGAUUAAAGGUAUUCCGGUAGACGAUGGGG
rnacentral:rRNA from 1 species